CCGAGAGUGAGGUCACCUGAGACAGCAAGGGCCCCGCCCUCUUCUGACUCACUCCCACGCAGCCUUUUACAGUGAUGGUACUUUGAACCCAAUUACCAGCGUCUGACACAACUGCUACAGAGACAUAAAAAAGAAACCUAACUGGGACUUGAUGAAUGCCUUUGCAGUCCAUUAAUUCCUGACUACAAUGGAAGCCACAAAAAGGGAGCCCUUUGCCAAGAGUGAACUGUGAAGGUAGGCCAGGGGAGUCAGCAGUGUCUCUGUGGCUGACCAUGUGGAGCUUCAGUUUUUGCCCCUCUGGCGUCAGCGUGCUUACCCGAGGUGCCCCAACCUGUUUAGUGUAUAAAUAACACCAGACUGGGAGCUGAGCUUUUUGAAGCCACUGUGCUCCACGUCAGGGCAGGCUGGUUCGGCAGGUGCCCCUGCUGCCAUCACACCUGUCUGCACCGUAGGGUGGGGGCCCACGUUUGCGGACGUGCUGCACUCCCUCAUUAAACUCCUUAUUCCCUUCUGCACGCCUUCAUCAGUCUACCACAAGGUCACAAAGCCUGUGAUGACGACAUAGUUGCUGGGAAGACUAGUCAAAUCUAGAACUAGUCACAGGGAUUACUUCAUUUUUACAGGAAUCUACAGUGCGGCUGGGACUGUGGAAGUGCAGGGCAACACUUAGCACUUUGAGUUAUUGGGUGAUCUCAUUCUGAAUACUGAAUAAGAGUGAAGAUGAGUCACUCACACUCUCUAUGAAGAAUUAAGCUGUUGACCUGUCUGUGAAAAGCCAGAGAGAGCAUUUGGAUGAGAUAUGUGUGUGUGCAUGUGUGUGUGUGUGUGUGUGUGUGUGUGUGUGUGUGUGUGUGUGUGUGUGUUAGUGAAUCCUCUGUAAAGGAAAGGGACAAAGUCAGUUAGACACUACAGGCCUUGCUCAGAGCAGCACUCUAUGCCUAAAAGAACACACUACUUGCUACUUGAAUCUGAGAGAGGGAAAAGUGCUCGAUACUGGUCCAUCAGCAUUCAGCAGUCUUUCUCUCUCUCUCUAUCUCUCUCUCUCACACACACACACACACACACACACACACACACCCUUUCUCGACUACACAAGCAAGUUCUGCACACACACGCACGUGCGCGCCCACACGCGCUCACACGCGCUCACACACACACACACACAUAGGCACUUGCACACCGUGAGCCCCCAUUCCGACAGAGCCUGGCCAAUCCCUCAGGUAUUCCCGGCAACAUCGCAGAUUAAAAUAGCUGGCGACCCACAUAGCUACGCACUGGCGCAGGCUCCCUUUUAGAGGAGACAGACUUUGCACUCCAUGCCCCGCCACCAAUGUGCCGGCUGUAUCUUCCAGAUCAUAAUUACCUCUUCGUCCUGUUUCUAAAGCGAUUCCACCAGAUGGUGUGAACAUCAUCAUACAUCUCCCAGCCAGGUCUUGGUGUGGCUGUGCAAAACAAGAGAGGCUGAACGUCUCAACGAGAAGGACGAAUUCCCAAGGUCGACAACACUCUGCAUGUGACCCACUUAACGGUGCCAUACACAAGCCCUAAUGGCUGAGUAGAACAUACAUGCCCCCCUAGCUCAAAAAACCCUUAUUGGUUCAGAAUCUUCAGGAGAAUCAAUGCUGCUGAGCUGACAUCAUAGGAGAAUUAUAAGGGGUUGGAGGGUUACUAGUACAGCCUGCAGCUCUGAAACCCAAACAUUUGGCUCCUCUUAAAUAUUUAAAUGCCUAAAUAUCAUUUGUGAUCUUUUUAAGCAUGAAAAGAACUUUCAAUCUGUUAUAUGGGAGAGAAACUAAAGGGCUUUUCAUCAAUUUUUAUGGUUCUGCUUAAGUACCCUUUCUUUUCUUUUCGUACUGCAUAUUUUUAUAGCCUGUCUGGGGGAUGUUAAUGUCAAAUCUGCUGGCAUGUGGCUGCUCUUUAAUUUGAAUGUGAGGUCACGGUGGAGGAUACAGAGCCCCUCGUUUGUCUUUUUCACUGAAAAACUGGAUCAUGCCAGCAGAGGGGAACAGGUGGGUCUCACAGCAGAGCAGCCUACAGACACUCUGAGGGAAGAAAGCAGUGCUGGUGAAUCCAUAGCCAGGACUAUAUUGGGUGUGCAUUAUGCCACCUGGCAUGAGCCUUGGAAUACAAAAAAUAACCAUAACAUAGCACCCGUGUGGUCAUCACCUGGAGCUAUAGCCAUAGCAAUGGUGAAAAGAGCAGAGUUGUAGGGGUUUACAGUAGAAGAACCCAUGCAUAGGUUUGGUUUCCUGAGUCCUAGAAAGCAUUAUAAGUAAUGCAGAUCUUUUAGUGCCACAAACCUAACAGUGAAACCACAUGUGAAAUUUGCUGUGAACGAUGUCUUCAGGUCUGCUUUGUAUACGUGAAAGGGGAAGUCCCAUGCCAAAAGUGUGCUCAAAGUCAUCUCUCUGGCACAUUGCUUUUGUAAUCUCUAUGGGGCAUUUUCUGCUCAUGAGAGCACAGAGUAUUGUGUGUACAUCACUCUGCUCCACUAGAGAGUGGCAGGACUGGGUGCCAAGGGGGCAUCUGCCCUUUUUAUUUUCUCUCCAUCUCUUUAGUGGGCAGACAUGUUAUAGUUAGGCAGGAAGCGCUGCAUGGGGCAAUGCAUGCCAACCUUGCCUGCAGCAGCUUGGAAUAAGUGAGAGAGAGAAAUCAGUGGAAAUGAGCAGGCCAAGCGCAACACAAUGGGACUCUGGACAGCAGCCAGGUCAUGUAGUCACUGGACACAGAGCAUAUGCAAAUAUCCACCCCACACACACGCACCAGUACAAGCAAAUCAUCAAACUGCAGCUGUUUAAAAUCUGAGGAAAAGAAUGUCAAAAAAGCAGCACUAUGAUUCUGUACUAUCUAAUGUUCCGCAUCAAUACUAUUUCCACUUUUUUUUUUUUUUAUCAGUCAACAAAUACCCUCAUGUGUGUUUAAUUCCAGGCCAUGCAUCCAGGUUUCAUAUUCACAUGGCCUGGGUUUCAUUCUGUGUUUGGUUUUUCUUUCACUUUCAGGGUCUAUUUCAGGACACAGAAGGAACCCUGUAGGUAAUUUUCUCCUUGAUGGAAAGUACCUGUUGUCCCCGAGUGUUUGUGUUUGAACGUACAGCCAGUGUUGUGUCUGAUGCCUACUCGCUGUACCUCACUGCUACCAAAACAAACACAUCUGCUGCCCUGCCCUGAGUGAUUCCCCAGACUUCUCCACCUGCACUGACUGCCUCUAGUGUGGAGCUCAGAGGCCCCUCUGGGUGGUGCUACUAGGGGAGCGGAGCAAGAGACAACAGGGGGCCCCUUGUUGAGCAAACAGCCACUCUUUGAAUUAACCUUCCUUGUGGGUCACUGUUGAAAUAAUCCCAACCUUCAUUGCAAAAGAAGAUGCUGGUGUGCUGUAAUUACACCGAGCUGCUUAGCUCUGUCUUUCACUGUCUCUUGCUUUUGCGUUCCUGUCUCCUCCUGACAGUGAGAGAUGGCGUCUUUGUUCAAGGAGGAGGGGGGUUGGGGGUGGUGCCAGCAGCCGCCGGUCCCGUUAGGGGAAUGGAUGUGGCGCAUGUCAGGCCCUGUGAGGACUUUAUCAUAGUCGUGCAGUGCUUCGUCCCCUCUUACCCUCCCUCCCAUGCUGCCCAGCCCUGUCCAUAGCCACAGCACUGAAACUUAAUUCAUCCAUAUUGUGCCCAUUACGGUCUGAUUCAUGCGCCACUCACCCUGGAAUGAGAGUGUCCAUGUAUCUUGUUCCUGGGCUAAAGGACAUUUCCCUUCCCUGGAAGAUCUGAAGUCACACUAUCAAGCCAUCACUCCCAGUAAAAGCAUCAGAUUUUUUACAGUGCUGCCAUUCAGCCACCUCUUUUAUUCACCUGUCAACCCAGCAAGGCCUUUUCUUCCCUUCACUAUCUCACUAUUACAUGGCACUUUAAUGUCCCACUGCCAAAAUACUGCUUCCCUUUUCCUCCUAAGCCAUAUCACAUGUUCACCCAACAGCAUGUAAGAAAACAUGUCAAAAGAGAUGGGGUUAUAGCUGAAUGUUUCCU